CGGGGAGGUAGUGACGAAAAAUAACGAUACGGGACUCAUCCGAGGCCCCGUAAUCGGAAUGAGUACACUUUAAAUCCUUUAACAAGGAUCCAUUGGAGGGCAAGUCUGGUGCCAGCAGCCGCGGUAAUUCCAGCUCCAAUAGCGUAUAUUAAAGUUGUUGCGGUUAAAAAGCUCGUAGUUGAAUCUGUGUGUCACAGUGUCGGUUCACCGCUCGCGGUGUUUAACUGGCAUUAUGUGGUACGUCCUACCGGUGGGCUCGCUUCCUUCGGGGGGCGGUCCAGUAUCCCAUCGCGGUGCUCUUCACUGAGUGUCGAGGUGGGCCGGUACGUUUACUUUGAACAAAUUAGAGUGCUCAAAGCAGGCUACCUUCGCCUGAAUACUCUGUGCAUGGAAUAAUGGAAUAGGACCUCGGUUCUAUUUUGUUGGUUUUCGGAACCCCGAGGUAAUGAUUAAUAGGGACAGAUGGGGGCAUUCGUAUUGCGACGUUAGAGGUGAAAUUCUUGGAUCGUCGCAAGACGGACAGAAGCGAAAGCAUUUGCCAAAAAUGUUUUCAUUAAUCAAGAACGAAAGUUAGAGGUUCGAAGGCGAUCAGAUACCGCCCUAGUUCUAACCAUAAACGAUGCCAGCCAGCGAUCCGCCGAAGUUCCUCCGAUGACUCGACGGGCAGCUUCCCGGGAAACCAAAGCUUUUGGGUUCCGGGGGAAGUAUGGUUGCAAAGCUGAAACUUAAAGGAAUUGACGGAAGGGCACCACCAGGAGUGGAGCCUGCGGCUUAAUUUGACUC
rnacentral:rRNA from 1 species